GACGAACGCUGGCGGCGUGCUUAACACAUGCAAGUCGAACGGAAAGGCCCUGCUUUUGUGGGGUGCUCGAGUGGCGAACGGGUGAGUAACACGUGAGUAACCUGCCCUUGACUUUGGGAUAACUUCAGGAAACUGGGGCUAAUACCGGAUAGGAGCUCCUGCUGCAUGGUGGGGGUUGGAAAGUUUCGGCGGUUGGGGAUGGACUCGCGGCUUAUCAGCUUGUUGGUGGGGUAGUGGCUUACAAAGGCUUUGACGGGUAGCCGGCCUGAGAGGGUGACCGGCCACAUUGGGACUGAGAUACGGCCCAGACUCCUACGGGAGGCAGCAGUGGGGAAUAUUGCACAAUGGGCGGAAGCCUGAUGCAGCAACGCCGCGUGCGGAUGACGGCCUUCGGGUUGUAAACCGCUUUCGCCUGUGACGAAGCGUGAGUGACGGUAAUGGGUAAAGAAGCACCGGCUAACUACGUG
rnacentral:rRNA from 1 species